GACGAACGCUGGCGGCGUGCUUAACACAUGCAAGUCGAACGGCAGCAUGGGUGCUUGCACCUGAUGGCGAGUGGCGAACGGGUGAGUAAUGCAUCGGAACGUACCCGGAAGUGGGGGAUAACGUAGCGAAAGUUACGCUAAUACCGCAUAUUCUGUGAGCAGGAAAGCGGGGGAUCGCAAGACCUCGCGCUUCCGGAGCGGCCGGUGUCGGAUUAGCUAGUUGGCGGGGUAAAGGCCCACCAAGGCAACGAUCCGUAGCGGGUCUGAGAGGAUGAUCCGCCAAGCUGGGACUGAGACACGGCCAAGAAUCCUACGGGAGGCAGCAGUGGGGAAUUUUGGACAAUGGGCGCAAGCCUGAUCCAGCCAUGCCGCGUGAGUGAAGAAGGCCUUCGGGUUGUAAAGCUCUUGCGGCUGGGAAGAAAUCGCAUCUCCUAAUACGGGGUGUGGAUGACGGUACCAGCAUAAGAAGCACCGGCUAACUACGUGCCAGCAGCCGCCGUAA
rnacentral:rRNA from 1 species